AUGUGUUGUUUCUCUUCACAACAUGACACCUUUUAUUAUGCUCCUCUCUCCAAGAAACAUAGGCACCUUAAAUUAACUCACCUCAAAAGAAGGAGAACACAAUUGAAAGAAGCAAAAGAAAGGAAAAAGAUGAUUAUAGUGAAAGAAGAGAUUAAAAUGAAGAACUUGAAAUUGUAUAUGGAGAAUCAAACCAUCAUUGAGGAGAAUGAAAAGUUGAGGAAACAAGCUAUGCUUUUGCAUAAAGAGAAUCAAGACCUUAUGUCUCAGCUUCAAAUUAAGCUUUCACAACAAAAUAUCAAUACCAACAAUAACUAG